CUACUUGCUUGACUAGAUGAAGGUGCUACCCAAAAAAAUUCUUCAAGGUUGGCAGGGUUCCAACUGAUUCUGGUCAGGGCAUGCAAGGUUUCAUAAGGUUUCAUGUAAAUUUUCUAUUUGUUAUUUUAUUUGAAUGUUCUAAAUGUUAUAUUUUACUGUUC